rnacentral:tRNA from 1 species
GGCCCGGUGGCUCAGUUGGUUAGAGCAUUGUCCCAAUACACCAAAGUUGCUGGUUCGAUCCCUGGUCAGGCCA